rnacentral:rRNA from 1 species
GAUGAACGCUGGCGGCGUGCCUAAUACAUGCAGGUCGAGCGAACGGACGAGAAGCUUGCUUCUCUGAUGUUAGCGGCGGACGGGUGAGUAACACGUGGAUAACCUACCUAUAAGACUGGAAUAACUUCGGGAAACCGGAGCUAAUACCGGAUGAUAUUUUGAACCGCAUGGUUCAAAAGUGAAAGACGGUCUUGCUGUCACUUAUAGAUGGAUCCGCGCUGCAUUAGCUAGUUGGUAAGGUAACGGCUUACCAAGGCAACGAUGCAUAGCCGACCUGAGAGGGUGAUCGGCCACACUGGAACUGAGACACGGUCCAGACUCCUACGGGAGGCAGCAGUAGGGAAUCUUCCGCAAUGGGCGAAAGCCUGACGGAGCAACGCCGCGUGAGUGAUGAAGGUCUUCGGAUCGUAAAACUCUGUUAUUAGGGAAGAACAUAUGUGUAAGUAACUGUGCACAUCUUGACGGUACCUAAUCAGAAAGCCACGGCUAACUACGUG